rnacentral:rRNA from 1 species
GAAGCACAGUAAUGUGUGAAGCUAACUCGUACUAAUUGGCUGAUUGUCUUGACCAUAUAACCUGAAUUGCUUUGGGU